rnacentral:lncRNA from 1 species
ACUUCGAGUACAUUGUAACCACCUCUCUGGGUGGUUCGAGACCCGCGGGUGCUUUCCAGCUCUUUUACUGCUGAAGUUCAGCUCCUUUUCCAUGGGGAACCAUGGAGAAAUGGCUGAUUUUAGCACUGGGCAGGAAAUACAGAGAUGGACAGGGUGCAUCUCACAGUGCUAGAAAGGUCUAUCUCUCUCUCCGAGACUGGAGUGCAGUGGCGCCGUCUCAGCUCACUGGAACCUCUGCCUCAAGCAAUCCUCCUGCCUCAGCUUCCUCCUGAGUAGCUGGGACCACAGGUACUAACCAGGCCUGACCCUACUUAGCUUCCAAGAUCAGAGGAGACCGGGCACGUUCAAGAUGACUUGGAACUGAAGAAGCUGGCAAUCUGGAAAUGCCAAUGGACGCAGAUUUUAAAAGCCCCAGCAAAAGUCUGCUUUCUCUAUUCAUAGGACCAGGAUCAGGAAGAGGACAGCUUAGAAAGACAUAAAAUUCUUAGACAAUAACUGUUCUACCCCAGCCAAACACCAAACACACACACACACACACACACACACACACUCCAACAACUAUGGCCCCACCCACUUCAGCAAAGGCUGAGUAGGAGCCUAAACUUCCACCACUGAGCGGCUAUAAGAAGUUACCCCAAGACCCCACCAACGUGGUGUUAAAGAAGGCCAAAUAGGGGACAAAAUUUUUAUCCAUGCUGACCAGUUAUGAGGUUCCCUUUUUCCCUCUGUGAAAUAAAAAUAAAGCCCGUAGGUCCCCAGGCAAGAUGAAAUGGACUCCUUGUUGCAAAAGAGACCCCAGAAAACUUUAAAAGCUGGAUUCUAUGGCUUUGGCAAGGUAAGAGUUCGGUCACACCUCAAAACUCCCCUACCUCAUUAACUGCUUCAAGACUUUCUUUCCUACAGUUAAACGCCUGGGACUACAGUCAUGUGCCACCAUCCUAGGCUAAUUUUUUUUUAAAGGUUUUUGUAGAGAUGAGGUCUCAGUAUAUUGCCCAGGCUGGUCUCAAACUCUUGGGCUUAAGCAAUUCUCCAUCUCGGCCUCCCAGAGUGCUGGAAUUACAGGCGUGAGCCACUGCACCAAGUCAGAAAACUGAGUUUUAAGAAGAUUAAUAUUUUUAUGUUUAUGUAGCUUUCUGUAUUACUUUUAAAGUCUUUUGAUUGUCACUUCGGUUAAAUGAAUAUUAUUUUACAAUGACCCGUGAUCCUGUUUUGAU